CUUUUUUGCCCGUCAUCAAAAUUUUCACUUUCCUGGACUUCAUUAUCAAUUAAAUGAUCAAAUAUAGUACAGAUGUCAAACAUGAGGUAGAUUGCCUGAUACCACUGUGUAUCUUUUUAAACAGUAAUUUGCAAUUAUAUCAUUUGAUAAUACACCUAUUUUACCUUCUGUACUUAUACCUGUCCUUCUUUCAUCAGCAGCUUCAACUUCCUGUUUAAUCAUCUGAACUGAUCUUCUCAAACCAAUAAUUGAAGACCAGUGUGAGGCAGGAAAUUAUGGCUAUUAUAUAAUUAUUUUUUAUUAUUAACUUAUAAUAAAUAAAAAUACUUGAUAAAAA